rnacentral:lncRNA from 1 species
CCUGUUGAGCAUCCAUUAAAAUGGAUAAAGUUCGGUUGCACUAUAAAGCCCCAAAAAUCAGGUAAUAAAAUACAAUAAUGUUUCAGCAAUACUACAGAAAUAAAGUCACCAAGAUUUAUCUUUAAAAUAAGGCACAAUCAAGCCUCACUCCACUAAGGAAUCAAAAUCUGGAUCACAUAGAUCACCAAAAUCGAACUGCCCUCAUAGAAUCACUAAGAUUCAUACACAAUCAACAGAGAAGAGCACCCUACUAUAUGCAUCUAUAGCAUUACACGAUUUCCUAGAUUUAAUUGCUGAAAACACUCAAGAAUCCACCCUAAUCCACAAAGGAGAAGGAAGUCUUCACCAAGAAGAGAGAAUCGAAAAAGCCGACUCUAAAACCAAGAAUAAUGUCUCUCUCACAAAUCUGAAAAUCAUCAAAAAUGGAGUCUCCACACAGGAAAGAAAAUCGACUAGAAAGUCUGUCCCAAAACCAAUAAUAUUUCUCCCAAAAAUCUCCAAAAUAAAGGACCCAAAAUCACCAAGAAGAAGGGCUUUGUCGUAGGGAAGAAGAGAGAGCAGAGAUCGGACUUCAAAAU